rnacentral:rRNA from 1 species
CUGGCGGCGUGCCUAAUACAUGCAAGUCGAGCGAGCGGAACCAACAGAUUUACUUCGGUAAUGACGUUUGGGAAAGCGAGCGGCGGAUGGGUGAGUAACACGUGGGGAACCUGCCCCUAAGUCUGGGAUACCAUUUGGAAACAGGUGCUAAUACCGGAUAAUAAAGCAGAUCGCAUGAUCAGCUUUUGAAAGGCGGCGUAAGCUGUCGCUAAGGGAUGGCCCCGCGGUGCAUUAGCUAGUUGGUAAGGUAACGGCUUACCAAGGCGACGAUGCAUAGCCGAGUUGAGAGACUGAUCGGCCACAUUGGGACUGAGACACGGCCCAAACUCCUACGGGAGGCAGCAGUAGGGAAUCUUCCACAAUGGACGCAAGUCUGAUGGAGCAACGCCGCGUGAGUGAAGAAGGUUUUCGGAUCGUAAAGCUCUGUUGUUGGUGAAGAAGGAUAGAGGUAGUAACUGGCCUUUAUUUGACGGUAAUCAACCAGAAAGUCACGGCUAACUACGUG